AAGAGUCUGUAAGGAGAGAAAGUCACGGGAAAGCACUAUUUAAAAGGGGAGGCUAAGGAAAGACUGAAUGGGCCUUUCUGAAUUCCUCUUCUGGAAGAAGUGUCGUCCCUCCUGCUGUCUUUCUGUCCACCACGAAGUCAUGUUUGCUGCCAUCAUAUUACUCCAAUAUUUAGCCCUGUCUGAACUUUGGAGUAAAUACUAGUACUGCAAGCAACACAGCAGCUCUUGUUCCUAUUUGUCACCUCAUUUAUAAAAACACUGCUCUGUUAUUGAUCACAAUUUGCCUUGGGCUGCAAUGGCUACUCAGCAUUGCCCACAGACUCCUGUUACUGAAGGACAAAGCAUUAGCAAGGAGUCACACAGAAGUGAUGUUCCUGGGGAUAGAGGUACCAUUUCACUCCUUGUGAAGGUGGACAUCUUUUCUGAAAGGAGUUAAUGAAAAGCUUGAUUCACCCUAGGCUACAGCCACAUUAGCCAUGAAGCUGGGAAUAAAUAUUAGCUGUCUGUUCUCCCAGCAUGCUUCAUGUUAACACACACGUCCUCUUCCUACAGCAUCCUGCUUUACAGAGCUAGAUGUGCUUUGACUACGGCCACUAUUCAAUUUUCCCAGCAGUCAGCAGCAGAUGCUGCCAAUGCAAUGCUGCCUCAUCACUUGGAAUGCCUUGCUUUCAUCCUUUUACCUUCCGAGAGGGAUGUUUGUUUGCUCAUUUCCCUGCCAAGUGUUCAACCUCACACAACAGACCCCCAGCCUUGGUUCAUUCACUUGAGGCAGCACUUCUAUGCCAAGGGAGCAAUUGACUUCAGGAUUUGUGCCGUGUUCGCUGCAAGCACGAGCUGCCAAACAGUUUGGGCUUUCCUGUGUCCUGCUGGGCUGCUCUCCACUGUGUGCUGGGCCAGAUAAUCUCCCACUGCCCCCCCACUGCAGAGAAGAGGUUUGUUUGCUGGUAUGUUUUGCCUUGUUGCUUGGGUGGCUGUGGUUUUGAAACCAUGAAGUUUCCUGGGAAAAUGAGAGCAUGCGAUUGGCAUUUCUGCGUGGGUCUCUGAACUGGAUAGAAUUGAGCUACCCAGGAACCUGGGUUGGGAAGAAAUUGGCACAGCAACUUUUGGCAGCUCUGAGAGAAUUGAUCCUCAAAUACCACCAAGGGAGAAGUCUGAUCUGUGAUGACUACACAACCCCACAAUCUGGUUAAGGGAAGAAAGCAGUCAUAAAGGGAUGAUGCCACACAUUGCACCCAUGAUGGGAGAGCAAACAGCCUCAAUAGAAAAUAUAAAUUCUAUUUAGAGGAACACGUGAGACUUUCUUUAAAUCUGAUUGUGAAAAUAGGUUUGGUGUCAGUUGUAAUAAUGAGAACUUCAUGGAUCAUUCAUUUUUUUGGGUAACAUUGGCAGAGACUUAGAACACUGGGAGGACAUCUAAUCAUCAGGCAGCUUCCUGAACAGAGACCCAGUUGUAUAGAAAAGAAAACUUCAGCGAGGCUUACCAUGAAUUCCUAUCAUGUGCUCUAGAAUCAAGACCCUCUCAGCUAAAAUCUUCAGAGCUUCUCGAAGUUGUUGAACACCUUCCCCCUGCAAGACAGAAAAGCAAACCAACAGUGCUAAAUAUUUGCAAAACAGGCUUCUUGUACAUAAUGUUGGCUUGGUAAUGCCAAACUGUGCAGUGUAAAUAUUUAACAAGAGAAGUCAUAAAAACAUGAGAUAAGCUGCAAGAGUAAAGUUGGAAUGCAGGAGAAAUCUCUAAAGAAAAUCUCCUCGGUUAUACCCUACAUUUGCAGAGCCUCUGACUAAGCCAAACCUUUCACUUUGGUUCCUGCUUCUACAGUGAGCCAAACCCAGGGAGUAUAUUCCUGUCAAAAUAUGUUAUGUUAUGCAGCUUAUGUUAAUAACUGUACUGUACUACCUGGAGAACAGGUUUUGCUCUUGCCUGACGUUUACUCUGAACGCCAUUGAGUUUCUUGGACUUUCUCUUCAUUGGGACACCAGAAAAGCGAGAGGGUUGGCAAGCCUCAUCUUGCUUCUGCCUUAUAAAAUAAACUGAAACAGUGGCACAUGUGCUCAUCCUGAUGGACUUGAGCCAGCAGUGUGUGCUUGGAGGCCAACAGUACUGUGGGCUGUAUCAAAAGAGGAGUGGCCAGCAGGGAGAGGGAGGUGGUUGUCCCUCUCUACUCUGCCCUCAUGAGGCCCCAGCUGGAAUACUGCAUCCAGGUCUGGGACCCCCAUCAUAGGAAAAACGGGGAGCUUCUGAAAAGGGUCCAGAGGAUGGCCACAAAGAUGAUCAGAGGGCUGGAGCACCUCUCCUGUGAAGAUGGGCUGAAGGAGCUGGGCUUGUUCAAUUCAGGGAAGAGAAGGCUGCAGGGUGACUUCAUUACAGCCUUCCAGUAUUUAAAUGCAGAUUAUAAACAGGAGGGUAGUCAACUUUUUACAUGGAUAGGUAGUGACAGAACAAGGAGGGAUGGUUUUAAACUAGAGGGAAGAGUUAGAUUAGAUGCUGGGGAGACGUUUUUCACUGAGAGGGUAGUGAGGUGCUGGCACAGGCUGCCCAGAUUGGUUUUGAAUGCCCCAACCCUAGAGGUGAUUAAGGCCAGGUUGGAUGGGGCCCUGGGAUCUGAUCCAGUACUUGAUCUUGUGGCUGGCAACACUGCCUGCAGCAGGGGGGCUGGAACUUGAUGAUCCUUAAGCUCCCUUCCAACCCAAGCCAUUCUCUGAGUCUAUGACUUCGUUCUGCCUCUCACCAAGCUCUGAGGCUGGCCACAGGUAGUCUUUUCUUACCUUGUAGCAGCUUUGUGUGGGAGAAUAACAUCUGGGGGCUGAGGAGGUGUUCAGCAUGCAGGAGGGCAGCUGACAACAUGGCCAACAGACCACUAAGACCUGGCUUUCUAGCAUGCAGUAUGUUGUAUACCAAGAUUCAUCUCUUCUGCUGCCCUUUUAACUGCUGACAGGAGCCUUGCCCCUCACAAACCGAAAGGAAUAUGAUUAGAAGACAGUAAAGAGUUACAAAGUAAAGCAAAAACAAAACAAAACAAAACCACAGUAAAAACCCAUGCUUACAUCAGCACCUUUAUCACCUUCCUCGCCCUUCUUGCCUGGUUCACCCUAAAACAAACAAGAAAGAGAAAUUUGUCUCCAUAUGACCGAGGAUCCUGCCCAGAAUCACUUCCCUCCAAUGGACCACAGUAAAGAUGACUCCUGAGCUCUGCCCUAGCUCCCAGCAGCUUCCCAAGAGGUCACUGCUAUUUCUCACAUUGAUAAACUUGGCUGGGGGUGGCCAAGCUGCACGAGGGGCUGGCUGCCAUGGCCUGGACCUACAACAGAUCUCAAUGAACAAUGUCUUAGUCCACAGCGUUGAGAAAGAAAUGCUGUUCUCCUCCCCCAAACAUGCAAUUGUGCAUCUUUGAUUUACACCAUAAAAUUCCUCCUUUCUUCUUUCAUUAAUUACUCAUAUCAUUUUCUGCCUCUGAAGAUGCUCAUUAAGCUUUCUGUGAGCAAAAUCCCUACGUGCUGUGAACACUGGUCUGAUGUUCCCCCUAACCUAAGUUCGUGCAUUUCCUGAAGAACAGAAGACACAAAGAGAUUAAGCCACAAGCUUAAGACAAAGCCUAACAAAUGGCUGAAUGAAAUAGGGUGGAAAUGCCUGGACUCUUCAGACUCACUGGACAUCCCUGACAUACUUGCAAAGCAGAGAGCGAGGAUGGGAUGAAGGGCUGAAGAAAAGAUUGUAGGAGCUGUACAGUAUGAUGAGAUGGAAUUAAGGAAGGGUGAAGAGAAACUUCCCAGAGGAACCAGGAUCUCUCUGAAUGCUGCCAGUCAAGACACCCAACUUGUUCCACUCACUUUCAGCCAAACUUCAACUCUGUUUGCACUCUAGCCAUACGUGCCUAUGCAGACAUCGCCUGAGUGCACUGGUUCAGCUACUGCCAAAAAAUCAUUUGGCCAAGUCUCUUAAUCUCAUUAAAGGUUUUCCAGCUCAGCUUGGCAGAUCAAGGUGCAAGAGGACACCGAGAGCAGCUGAUGUACCUUGGGUUAACAGUGCCCUUUGAGCUCUGGUAGUGCCAGGAACCUCACAGGGCAGGGAAGAGGUUCUGUCUGCCAGACUUUGGCUAGAGGGGAUCUGCAAAUACUGCACAUCUCCUCCAUUGGCAUGUUGCCUUCCUGAUCACUGCUCUCCACCUCUGACCUGUUAACAGGACUUUGUCAGCAGUCCUUUCCUGCAGUGUACUUUAUGCCAUUGACUGCCCUGUUGACAAAAGACCAUUAGCAGAAGAUGGCUGGUAAGGCUGCAGACAUAGAUGCUACCUUGCUUUGCACUGUGCAGUUAGGGCUUCCCAUUAGGCAAACACUAUCAACAGAACAACUGAACUUAGAGCAAGUAACCUCCUCUCCUAAAAAAAAUCAAUGGGAAUCUGGCUGCUCUGUGAUACUUCUGGCUCUAGAAGGAAGACUCACAGCUGCAAGACACCAACUCCAUUCCUUGAGCCACCCAAGGUGGAGAAAGCCUAUGGGAUCACUCUGACACACUCCACAUUUCAGUGCUAUGUUUCGCAUUCCAUUUGCAGAGGAAUACUUAAGCACCUUUGGUCACCCCUCUGUUUUUUUGGAGUACUGAGCAGAAAAAAAGGAGAAAAGGAGAUGCACGUCAUCUACAGCUACCUACCUGCAGGCAGUGACCUCCAACGUGAUGGUAAAAGUGGCACUUGGAAGAGAAUUUGUUCCCCACAGCUGCAGCACAAGAGCAUGCCUAUACAGCCACCACUGCAGAUAUCUUUUUCUUUUUUUCCUAACACGUGCCAGCCAACAUUUUUCUUCUCUCUUUCUUUAAUUCUUUGACCUUUCCACAGUAGGCUCUCAGUAACAUUCCACUGUCCAUCUGCACCCACUUCCACAUUUUGCAGAUCUAACUGCUCAAUGCUUGCACCAUGUACUAAGAUCUCUGGUGAUUUUGUGUCCCUACUGCUUCUCAGAAGCAAUUUCAAAGACCGUGGCCUUUUGGAGAGUAAGCUUCACAGAAACAGCUGUAGGCCAAACUGCCAUCUGAAACCCUUCCUUAAAUGCUGGUGUGGGGAUCUGACAUGGAUAUAUCCUUGUUAAGAUUUUUCUCUGUUCGUUCCUAAAUUUCAUCUGUGUGCAAAUAAUAUUCCAACAGCCCUUCUUGCUACAGUUAUUAUCAUUUGACAUAACCCAUUGAGGACUGAGGUAUAGCAAACUUUCUAAAUAAAUUAAGAGCAUCACUUGACCUGGGGAACAACUUUGGUUCAGGAGAAGUCUGAUGAGCUUUUACUGCAUUACCAUCACAGAUGGAAGUCAUCAGAACAUCUAAAACAGUCCACACUAAAGAGCUUUGGUUGGCAGAAGAAGGCUGGCCUCUGCCAGGUUUAACAUUCCAAGUAUUUAUUACCUCUAUCUCCUUAGGGAACACCAGACACUAUGUAAGUUAUUCAGUCUUUUAUCUGUAUGGGAAACCUUCAUCUUGUUGGUUAGUUUUGGGUUUUUUUUUGCAAAAGACUUAGAAAUUCUACAUUUAAAAUUGGUCAUGGCUGCAGUCCCACAGAAUCUGAAAGAGCUGCAUAAAUUUCUAAGGCAUUCACCCAGAUCUCGCUGGGAAUCCCUCCACAUACGUAAAACCUUACCCUCUCUCCUCGGUCUCCUUUGGAGCCUUUGGGCCCAGGUUGUCCUGGAGAGCCUGGUAAGCCCUAGAAGAGAUGCAUGACAAGAAGAAUUCAGUUUCUAUUGCACAUCCAUUAUGAAGAUAUAGCCAAUACAUUUCCCAGUGAUCCUCAGCUUCUGUAAACCCCAUAUAUGCAUUAAGUGGCUAGGCUGGAUUCUUGUUUGCCCUCAAGCAAUAACAAUGGAAGCUCUUUUUGCAGAUACCUUAAGCCCUAUAUUUUCUACAUAUCCCUCUUUUUAGUUCUCUUAAUGAACUGCAUGCUGCUGAUAUAACAUUUUGUGAAGGGUCAAUGUGACAGGAUAGUUCUUGUUCUCAGUGACUGAGAAGAAAUUAACAAAUAGAUGGUAUGGUUAGCCUAAAAAUCCCCACUGCUUUCCCCCCUCUUCAUAAUUGCCUCAGUGGGUAGCAUGAGUAACCAUACAUACCUGAAAAUUAAUUGGAUUGUGUAGUGGAAAUUAUUUUGAAGCGAUUCACUCACCCUAAUAAACAAUUUUCAAAUUAAGCCCAAUCUCUACUAAUAAUUUUGCUCCCUGGGUUGAGUAAAUCUAUAAAGCAAAUCACCAAUGGUUAUGAAGGGUGUUGUCUCCAGACUUCUACUAAUUGAACUGCUCUGCAGAAAUUGAUCCAAAUUCUUAAAUUACCCACCCAGUGAAGCCACAGUGAGAAAGCAGGCAGGAAGAGAACACCACUGUUUGUUUCUAUUUACCAUGUCAGCUCCACAUGACCGUAUGCAAGAUGCUUUUUUCCACCUGAAGUAACUUGAACUUGAAGUCCUUGGAGACUGCAGCACAAGGAACCCCAGCUCCACUUCAGGCAGCUGCUGCUUCACGCUGACUUGUUUAACAGCAGGCCCCACUACCCACCACCUCUCAGCAUCCAGUGAAAUGGGCUUUCUAGCACAGCUGCCAGGAACCUCAGCCUGUAGUUAAGUGGCCCAACAAGGUCAGGCCUUAGUGUUUCAAGGGACAGUGGGAGGAACGCUCUCCCAGUUUCAGGAUUUUGAAGGACUAAUGGAGAAGCACUCUCUCAGCUUCAUCUGGGAGGCAGCCCUGCUCACCAUUAUCACGUUGCUCCGUGCCUGCAGUCAGUCCAACCAGCUCACCACCAACUUGUGCAAGAUGGCAGCUUAGCUACACCACCUCUGUAUCCACAAAAGAUGCAGAGAUUCAAGCGUGAUAGAGGAGGUUAACCAGGGCUGGCAAGCAAGGUAGGGCACAGACCAGAUUUGGCCUUAUGUCAAAAAGCAGCGUGAACAAAGCUCAAGUGUCCAUAGGUGACCUCUGCACCUGACAGCUCUGUACAUUCGACUUCAGUGCGUGUUUGCAGAGGGAUGCUCAAGGAACACUGAAUUAAACAAGUCUCUUGUUAAAAAUAAAAAAUUUAUAAUGCCUACUGCAUGUGAAAAAGCCAGACUCUAUUAAAGAACCUAUUUAUGAAUUGUGAAUUACCUUAUAUUUAAUCACGUUAAACUGCAACUGUCGUUUGGCUGCCAAACUUCCCACUGUGUUCAUAUCUAUCUGGAGUUUCUCACCGCUCUCCAGAGCAUUCACUAAUUGAAAUGAUUCUGCUACACUGGCAAAAUUUCACUAACUUGCUCUCAUUGCUUCUUCAAAGUGAUUAAUAAAUACAUAGUAGAAGUCUCCUUUCUCUAAUUUCCAGCAAUCCCAAACCUGUCAUAUCAGGAUCUAAGUCACAUCCGUUGUCUAAAUUACUUAAACUUUCUCUCUCUUCUGUACUCCUCAGUUACUUUUAUCUCUUUAAUUCAAGUAAGAUACCUAAUAUAGAAAUAUUUGUUGUCACUGGUUUGCCUCUACAGUAGGAAACAUUCAUCCCAAACUGGAGUCCUGUUUUAUCAGCCAACCACCAUCUGCAGCAGUUUGGCCACUCAUUAUUCAUCAUAACCUUCAUUUUUUCAACUUCUUUUUUCAUCCAUGUGGCUAUUUUGCCCUUCCACCAUAAAACAUUCUUUUGACUGAGUUUACAAUUCCCCAUAAUUAUCCUCCCCUCCACAAUUUUGGUAUCAAUAUCUAAUGAAUCAAACUGAUUAGAAUUUGUGAAGUUUCCUGAAUGGAAAGUGCUAUUUCCAAUAAAUUAGGAUGAAGAAAUUCACCUUGGUGAACUGGUGAAUUCUCAAUGACACAUUUUUCCUCUUUUAUGUGUUCCACAGGAAAUGCAGUGUUUUUCUAUCACAAUGUUAGUAAAGCCCACGUCAAAUCCUUUGCAUCAACUCAGGCUACGGUGAAAUGUUUUGACACAGUAGCAGCAAGAUAUGUUGUUAUGAUUGAGGGAAAACCUGGAAAGUAGAACCAUUUCAACUUCUUAACCCA